UACAGAGGGGGCUAGCGUUAUUCGGAAUUAUUGGGCGUAAAGGGCGCGUAGGCGGCCAUGCGUGUCUUCCGUGAAAUCCCUCGGCUUAACUGAGGACGUGCGGAAGAAACUGCAAGGCUCGAGUCCGGGAGAGGUGAGUGGAAUCGAGUGUAGAGGUGAAAUUCGUAGAUAUUCGGAAGAACACCAGUGGCGAAGGCGGCUCACUGGACGACUGUUGACGCUGAGGUGCGAAAGCGUGGGAGCAACAGG
rnacentral:rRNA from 1 species